UGUGUGUGUGUGUGUGUCUCCAAGACAAAACAUGUUUUCUUUCUUUCUUUUCCACAUUUCAUCCUCCUCCCUCCCUUGUCCCCACACGUAGCAGACAUGCAUAAGUCUCUCAAGAAAAUUCAGCCACGGGUCCUUCUGCUUGUCUUGCACAAUUGGCCAACACCCAUCUCCUUCUUCUUAUAUAAAUCAAACCAAGCCCCUCUCCUCUUCACUUCCUCAAGCAAAACAAAGAGAGAAACCGAGAGAAAGAAUAAGAAAGAGAGGAGAGCGAGAGAGAGAGACCCAGUCGAGAGGAGCACCGAGAGAGGGAGAGAUUCACCGGGAGAGAAAGGAGGAGAAAAAGGGACUGAUUUAAACGUGUGGGUUCCUUCAAGGUAGAUGUAACAAAGAAUCCACUCAAGAUCGCCAGGUAAGGGAACACAACUUUAAAUCUCGGCGAAAUUUUAAAUAAAACCUUUUUAAAAGAAAAACGUCGGGAAUUUUCAAAAGAUUCUUUUACUUAAAUAUUAUUUGUUCUAUUAUCUCAAGUAUGAAAUAAUGAAUAUGCUACCUGUGAAUCACAUGGAUGAAUGAAGCUGAUGAUUAUAUGUUACGUGUGCACCAUAUGAACGAAGAGGAUGAUGUAAUUAUGAUUUUCAAAUAUGAAUAUGAUACAUGUGCACCAUGAAAAUGAGGAUGAUGAUGACUCUCAAAAUCUAUAUGUGUUACAUGUGCACUAUAUGAACAAGAUGAUGAAAUUAUGUUGAAUAUUUGUUUUAUGUGCAUCACACAAAGUUUUGUCCCACGGUACCAUAAUGCUGUGAUCCGGAUCUUAUGAUGAUGAUGAUGAUGGGUAGUAGGGCAACCACACCAAAAGUGUGGGGCUAUCGGCCGGGGGGUUCUCACCUAGGGAGCUUCCUAACCCGGCAGCUCUCCUCUGUGACGACAGGAUGAGCCUAUGGGUCCUUCGGGAUCGGUCCUUUGGACGAGCCCAACGUGCACCGCUCAUGGUUAAAAUGCGGAAGUGGGCCAGUGAUAAACGAAACUUACACAUUAUGAAUGAUGAUUACAUAUGCACAUUUCUUAUUGAUGCAGAUAUUUUUAUAUGUGAAUUCUAAAAUACCAAACUGUGAUUUUUAUACACCCAUAUGUUCUGUUGUGUUACUUACUGAGUUUUCAAACUCACCCCUUACCACUACAACCUUUUCAGGAUACAUUAAGCCGGAGUCACUUUUUGGUAAUAGCAUAGACCUCGCUAAGGGUAAUAGAACGUUGGGGGACUGAUGUAAUCUUUAUAUUGUAUAGUAUGUUUCCCUUUUGGAAUUGAUAGCUUUGUAAAGAGCAACUCUUAUGUACAUAUAAAUAAAAUAGAUGGUUAAGAUCUA